GGUUAAGCGACCAAGCGUACACGGUGGAUGCCCUGGCAGUCAGAGGCGAUGAAGGACGUGCUAAUCUGCGAUAAGCGCCGGUAAGGUGAUAUGAACCGUUAUAACCGGCGAUUUCCGAAUGGGGAAACCCAGUGUGAUUCGUCACACUAUCAUUAACUGAAUCCAUAGGUUAAUGAGGCGAACCGGGGGAACUGAAACAUCUAAGUACCCCGAGGAAAAGAAAUCAACCGAGAUUCCCCCAGUAGCGGCGAGCGAACGGGGAGGAGCCCAGAGCCUGAAUCAGCAUGUGUGUUAGUGGAAGCGUCUGGAAAGGCGCGCGAUACAGGGUGACAGCCCCGUACACAAAAGCGCAUAUGCUGUGAGCUCGAUGAGUAGGGCGGGACACGUGGUAUCCUGUCUGAAUAUGGGGGGACCAUCCUCCAAGGCUAAAUACUCCUGACUGACCGAUAGUGAACCAGUACCGUGAGGGAAAGGCGAAAAGAACCCCGGCGAGGGGAGUGAAACAGAACCUGAAACCGUGUACGUACAAGCAGUGGGAGCACAGGUUUACCUGUGUGACUGCGUACCUUUUGUAUAAUGGGUCAGCGACUUAUAUUCUGUAGCAAGGUUAACCGUAUAGGGGAGCCGAAGGGAAACCGAGUCUUAAUUGGGCGUUAAGUUGCAGGGUAUAGACCCGAAACCCGGUGAUCUAGCCAUGGGCAGGUUGAAGGUUGGGUAACACUAACUGGAGGACCGAACCGACUAAUGUUGAAAAAUUAGCGGAUGACCUGUGGCUGGGGGUGAAAGGCCAAUCAAACCGGGAGAUAGCUGGUUCUCCCCGAAAGCUAUUUAGGUAGCGCCUCGUGAAUUCAUCUCCGGGGGUAGAGCACUGUUUCGGCUAGGGGGCCAUCCCGGCUUACCAACCCGAUGCAAACUGCGAAUACCGGAGAAUGUUAUCACGGGAGACACACGGCGGGUGCUAACGUCCGUCGUGAAGAGGGAAACAACCCAGACCGCCAGCUAAGGUCCCAAAGUCAUGGUUAAGUGGGAAACGAUGUGGGAAGGCCCAGACAGCCAGGAUGUUGGCUUAGAAGCAGCCAUCAUUUAAAGAAAGCGUAAUAGCUCACUGGUCGAGUCGGCCUGCGCGGAAGAUGUAACGGGGCUAAACCAUGCACCGAAGCUGCGGCAGCGACGCUUAUGCGUUGUUGGGUAGGGGAGCGUUCUGUAAGCCUGCGAAGGUGGCCUGUGAGGGUUGCUGGAGGUAUCAGAAGUGCGAAUGCUGACAUAAGUAACGAUAAAGCGGGUGAAAAGCCCGCUCGCCGGAAGACCAAGGGUUCCUGUCCAACGUUAAUCGGGGCAGGGUGAGUCGACCCCUAAGGCGAGGCCGAAAGGCGUAGUCGAUGGGAAACGGGUUAAUAUUCCCGUACUUGGUGUUACUGCGAAGGGGGGACGGAGAAGGCUAUGUUGGCCGGGCGACGGUUGUCCCGGUUUAAGCGUGUAGGUGUGUGUUCCAGGUAAAUCCGGUUCACUUUAACACUGAGGCGUGACGACGAGGCACCACGGUGCUGAAGCAACAAAUGCCCUGCUUCCAGGAAAAGCCUCUAAGCAUCAGGUAACAUCAAAUCGUACCCCAAACCGACACAGGUGGUCAGGUAGAGAAUACCAAGGCGCUUGAGAGAACUCGGGUGAAGGAACUAGGCAAAAUGGUGCCGUAACUUCGGGAGAAGGCACGCUGACACGUAGGUGAAGUGGUUUACCCAUGGAGCUGAAGUCAGUCGAAGAUACCAGCUGGCUGCAACUGUUUAUUAAAAACACAGCACUGUGCAAACACGAAAGUGGACGUAUACGGUGUGACGCCUGCCCGGUGCCGGAAGGUUAAUUGAUGGGGUCAGCGCAAGCGAAGCUCCUGAUCGAAGCCCCGGUAAACGGCGGCCGUAACUAUAACGGUCCUAAGGUAGCGAAAUUCCUUGUCGGGUAAGUUCCGACCUGCACGAAUGGCGUAAUGAUGGCCAGGCUGUCUCCACCCGAGACUCAGUGAAAUUGAACUCGCUGUGAAGAUGCAGUGUACCCGCGGCAAGACGGAAAGACCCCGUGAACCUUUACUAUAGCUUGACACUGAACAUUGAGCCUUGAUGUGUAGGAUAGGUGGGAGGCUUUGAAGCGUGGACGCCAGUCUGCGUGGAGCCAACCUUGAAAUACCACCCUUUAAUGUUUGAUGUUCUAACGUGGACCCGUAAUCCGGGUUGCGGACAGUGUCUGGUGGGUAGUUUGACUGGGGCGGUCUCCUCCUAAAGAGUAACGGAGGAGCACGAAGGUUGGCUAAUCCUGGUCGGACAUCAGGAGGUUAGUGCAAUGGCAUAAGCCAGCUUGACUGCGAGCGUGACGGCGCGAGCAGGUGCGAAAGCAGGUCAUAGUGAUCCGGUGGUUCUGAAUGGAAGGGCCAUCGCUCAACGGAUAAAAGGUACUCCGGGGAUAACAGGCUGAUACCGCCCAAGAGUUCAUAUCGACGGCGGUGUUUGGCACCUCGAUGUCGGCUCAUCACAUCCUGGGGCUGAAGUAGGUCCCAAGGGUAUGGCUGUUCGCCAUUUAAAGUGGUACGCGAGCUGGGUUUAGAACGUCGUGAGACAGUUCGGUCCCUAUCUGCCGUGGGCGCUGGAGAACUGAGGGGGGCUGCUCCUAGUACGAGAGGACCGGAGUGGACGCAUCACUGGUGUUCGGGUUGUCAUGCCAAUGGCACUGCCCGGUAGCUAAAUGCGGAAGAGAUAAGUGCUGAAAGCAUCUAAGCACGAAACUUGCCCCGAGAUGAGUUCUCCCUGAGACUUUGAGUCUCCUGAAGGAACGUUAAAGACGAUGACGUUGAUAGGCCGGGUGUGUAAGCGCAGCGAUGCGUUGAGCUAACCGGUACUAAUGAACCGUGAGGCUUAACCUU
rnacentral:rRNA from 2 species